rnacentral:rRNA from 1 species
GUGAGGAAUAUUGGUCAAUGGGCGGGAGCCUGAACCAGCCAAGUCGCGUGAAGGAAGAAGGAUCUAUGGUUCGUAAACUUCUUUUGCAGGGGAAUAAAGUGCAGGACGUGUCCUGUUUUGUAUGUACCCUGAGAAUAAGGAUCGGCUAACUCCGUGCCAGCAGCCGCGGUAAUACGGAGGAUCCGAGCGUUAUCCGGAUUUAUUGGGUUUAAAGGGUGCGUAGGUGGUUUGAUAAGUCAGCGGUGAAAGUUUGCAGGUUAACUGUAAAAAUGCCGUUGAAACUGUCUGACUUGAGUGUAAAUGAGGUAGGCGGAAUGCGUGGUGUAGCGGUGAAAUGCAUAGAUAUCACGCAGAACUCCGAUUGCGAAGGCAGCUUACUAAGCUACAACUGACACUGAAGCACGAAAGCGUGGGGAUCAAACAGGAUUAGAAACCCGGGUAGUCC